rnacentral:rRNA from 1 species
UACGUAGGCAGCAAGCGUUGUUCGGAAUUACUGGGCGUAAAGAGUGUGUAGGCGGUGUUCUAAGUUUGUCGUGAAAUCUCCCCGGCUUAACUGGGAGGGUGCGGCGAAAACUGGAAUGCUAGAGGAUGGGAGAGGUAAGCGGAAUUCCUGGUGUAGCGGUGAAAUGCGUAGAUAUCAGGAGGAACACCUGUGGUGUAGACAGCUUACUGGACCAUUUCUGACGCUGAGACACGAAAGCGUGGGUAGCAAACAGG